UGCAGUAGAAGGCAAAAGAUGUGUGGCGUAGAUGAAAAUGCAACUUCCUGUUAAGAAAGGGCCUUAACGAAAAGCUGAAGAGGAGAGUGUCUCUGACACUGCUCUGCUGUCUCUAGACCCCUAAAAACAGCUUAAGGAUUUUUUUGAAGGUGAAAACUCUCCGGCAACUGAACCGACUGAUUAGACGCAUGAGAACACGACAUAUGGUGUCUUAGAAGCGGCUUUUGAACUCUUGGAUAUGGCAAGAUUUUUUGCGCUAGGACCCUUGGUUUUGGUCCUAUGCUUGGUCUUAUACCCUUCAACCUCACACACUGAAGAAGGCAAGAAACCAGAAGCAGGUAAUAGUUUUGAAGCAGUUUGUGAAGGAUAGGAUAGUGAUAAGGAUGUAUGAGAUGAUGAAAAGGAGAAAUCUUUUAGUCAAAAACAUGUUACAAGUUCUUAGAUUUAAAUGUUUAAAUUAUGUUGAUGCUUCCAGUCAGUUGUGCAUGACUAUUGG